CAGGACUGCGAAAGAACUCAAGUGAUGAUUCACCUCCUGAGGUCUACUUGCUCACAUCUCUAUGGCAGAUACCGGGCUGCGAAUUGUGGCUCCCUUUUGACUAAACCUUUUCACUCCCUGCUUAGCCUGGUCUCUAUCCUGGGUCACUGCCACUGUGAGUAGUUUCGCUUCUAAUUCUGGCCAUCUGGACCUCUACUUCCCAGUUCCUGAUUUUUGCCUCCACAAAGUGAAGGAUGCCCAGGCCCUGAGAGCAAGCACGUACUCCACUGCCCUUUGCUGCCCUCUGCUGACCAUAACUGGAAAUGAUGGUUACUCUUUCAGGCCCUGUCUCAAGGCAGGUACUACAGUGAGAAGAACGAAGCCUGGAACACAAAAUUUUGAGGGUUUUUAAAACUCACAAAAUUUAGAAGAAAUAAACAGCAAAAAUGAGAACGUCCAAGUGGAGCAGAUAUACUAGGUGACUCCUGAAGAAAGUAGGUAAUUAAGAGAACAGAAGAAAAAUUGAUCUUUCAACAAAUAUUAACAUCUUCAUAGUUAAGAAGC
rnacentral:lncRNA from 10 species